GGGCCGGUGGUCUAGCCCGGUAUGACGCUAGUCUCACACACUAGAAGUCGGUAGUUCAAAUCUGCCUCGGCCCACCA
rnacentral:tRNA from 1 species